rnacentral:rRNA from 1 species
UACGAAGGGGGCGAGCGUUGUUCGGAUUUACUGGGCGUAAAGGGCGCGUAGGCGGCCCUCCUAGUCGCGUGUGAAAGCCCCGGGCUCAACCUGGGGAAUUGCGCGCGAAACGGGGGGGGCUUGAGUUCGGGAGAGGAGCGUGGAAUUCCCAGUGUAGAGGUGAAAUUCGUAGAUAUUGGGAAGAACACCGGUGGCGAAGGCGGC